GAUAGAUAGAUAUCUAGAUAGGUAGAUAGAUAGGGCUGCAUGGGGAUAAAUAGAUUGACAGGGGGGCGGUGUGGCGAUAGAUAGACAGACAGACAGAUUAGAUUAGAUUAGCUCCAGACGUACAUGUGGGGAUAGACGGACUCGGCCUUAUCAUCCUUUUAUGCAGUGGCUGGGAGUUAAAGCCAGACAAAUUCAGACUGGAACAAAGGCACACGCACCUUUUUCACAGUGAGAGUAACUGACCAUUGGAACAAUUGACUGGGGGCAUGGCAGAUUUUCCCUCAUUGGCCGUUUUUCAAUCAAGCUGGGAUGUUUUUCUAAUUGAUCUGCUCUAGGAAUCAUUCAGAGGCAGGUCUCCGGCAGGUGCUGUACAGGUGGCCAGACUAGGUGAUCAUAGUGGGCCUUCCAGCCUUGAAACCUGUGAAUCUGUGAUGGCGUCUGCUUGUCCAUUGCAUUGUGAAUUCCGUAUGUAAUUGACUUAUUCACCAUUCCAUUUGGAGGCCUCCACCCAUCAGCGCCCCUCCCUGGGCCCAGAACGAGCCAAACUUGUUUUUUAUCUCCUGCCACUUCAGAUUGGUCAGCCAGAGGUUGGCAGCUGGAUUAGCAGAAGGCAUCCAGCUGGUUGGUCUCUCUUGCUGGCGAUCCAGCACUCCCACCAUUCAGGGCCAGCAAGUUAACCCACCCCUGCGCUGAGUUGUGUGAUGUCACUCCCUCGACAUACCUUUGAGGAUCUGGGCCAAGCUGUCUGGUACGUCUUACGCGGGAGCAGGAUUCUCUUAUCUACAGAAGAGCGGAAAACCAGGACUGAACAGCAGCAGAGUCGCCCAGGUGCAAAUCAGUGGCCUGCCCACCCGCCCGCCUUCUUUCUAAAAGGUCCGUCCGACUUUCUUCAGCGCCAGGGAGUUACAAAUAAAAUCCACAUUCUACA